rnacentral:rRNA from 1 species
AGCGAACGCUGGCGGCAGGCCUAACACAUGCAAGUCGAGCGCCGUAGCAAUACGGAGCGGCAGACGGGAUAGUAACACGUGGGAACGUGCCCUUUGGUUCGGAAUAACUCAGGGAAACUUGAGCUAAUACCGGAUAAGCCCUUCGGGGGAAAGAUUUAUUGCCAUUGGAGCGGCCCGCGUCGGAUUAGCUAGUUGGUGAGGUAAUGGCUCACCAAGGCGACGAUCCGUAGCUGGUCUGAGAGGAUGACCAGCAUCACUGGGACUGAGACACGGCCCAGACUCCUACGGGAGGCAGCAGUGGGGAAUAUUGGACAAUGGGCGCAAGCCUGAUCCAGCCAUGCCGCGUGGAUGAUGAAGGCCCUAGGGUUGUAAAGUCCUUUUAACGGGGAAGAUAAUGACGGUACCCGUAGAAUAAGCCCCGGCUAACUUCGUGCCAGCAGCCGCAGUAA